GAUGAACGCUGGCGGCGUGCCUAAUACAUGCAAGUCGAGCGAACGGACGAGAAGCUUGCUUCUCUGAUGUUAGCGGCGGACGGGUGAGUAACACGUGGAUAACCUACCUAUAAGACUGGGAUAACUUCGGGAAACCGGAGCUAAUACCGGAUAAUAUUUUGAACCGCAUGGUUCAAAAGUGAAAGACGGUCUUGCUGUCACUUAUAGAUGGAUCCGCGCUGCAUUAGCUAGUUGGUAAGGUAACGGCUUACCAAGGCAACGAUGCAUAGCCGACCUGAGAGGGUGAUCAGCCACACUGGAACUGGGAAACGGGCCCGACUCCUACGGGAGGCAGCAGGGAGGAAUUUUGCGCAAUGGGCGGAAGCCUGACCGAGCCAACCCGGGUGGGGGAAGAAGGUCUUCGGGUUGGAAAACUCUGUUAUUAGGGAAGAACAUAUGUGUAAGUAACUGUGCACAUCUUGACGGUACCUAAUCAGAAAGCCACGGCUAACUACGUG
rnacentral:rRNA from 1 species